UACGGGGGGGCAAGCGUUGUUCGGAAUUACUGGGCGUAAAGGGCUCGUAGGCGGCCUUGUAAGUCGGACGUGAAAUCCCUCGGCUCAACCGGGGAACUGCGUCCGAUACUGCGGGGCUCGAAUCCGGGAGAGGGAUGCGGAAUUCCAGGUGUAGCGGUGAAAUGCGUAGAUAUCUGGAGGAACACCGGUGGCGAAGGCGGCAUCCUGGACCGGUAUUGACGCUGAUGAGCGAAAGCCAGGGGAGC
rnacentral:rRNA from 1 species